AUAAAUCUAAAAAGCAAGUCGUUUUGGCCUGGUGUUACUUAUCAGCAUAACAAAGUCCUUGGUUAUAGCUCUUCGAAUGGUGGGUUCCGAGAAGUAUCCACCAAUAAGAUUUAUUUACGAAGCUAUGGACAAGGCAAAAGAAAAAAUUGCUCGAAAUCUAAAAUAUGAUUUUUUGAUAAACCAGAGGAUGGACACGAUAUAGGAUCACAUCUUAACCAUUUUUUUUUCUAUCAAUUUAAUAAAAUAUCAUUACUAUAUUCAGCGGAUUGGUGGAGAGCUUUUGGAGAUCAAACGUCUGAACUAGCAAAAUUUGGCAUUAGAAUCUCGAGCUUGACUUGCAGUGCUACUGGAUGUAAACGGAAUUGGAGCUCUUUCAAUCAAGUGUAUACAAAGAGAAAAAAUUGCUUGAAGCAAGCGAAAUUUAAUGAUUUGGUUUACACUAUGUUCAAUUUGAAACUAAAACGCAGGGAGUUCAAGACUCAAUGAGAUGUAGACUCUGGUAAUGAAUGGAUCUCAGAGCUCCAAGAUCCUGAGGUGGAGUCCUAUGAAGAUCUUGAUAAUGAAGUCGAAGAAGCUGAAGUACCUCAACAUGCAAAGAAGAGGAAGAAGAAAAACAAAGGUGAAAAAAAAUUCCAGUUGAUGAUGAGGAGGAGGAUUUUCCACAUACCGAGGAGGAAAGCGAAGAAGAGGUCGAAUUGAAUUUCAUGGAUGAUUCUCUCAAGGAUCCUAGUGACAAUGACGAUGGUUAAUGGGUUAUGACUUAUGAGAUGUUUAUUUCGAAUGUUUAUGUUUGUGUUUAUUUCGAAUCUGUGAAAGUUUGGAACUUCUUUGAUUUUUUUUGGAACUUCUAAUGAAAAAAUGAUUUUCCUUCAGUGUUA